UACGUAGGGGGCAAGCGUUGUCCGGAUUUAUUGGGCGUAAAGAGCGUGUAGGCGGUUAGGUAGGUCCGUUGUGAAAACUCGAGGCUCAACCUCGAGACGCCGAUGGAAACCAUCUAACUAGAGUCCGGAAGAGGAGAGUGGAAUUCCUGGUGUAACGGUGAAAUGCGCAGAUAUCAGGAAGAACACCCGUGGCUAAGGCGGCUCUCUAGUACGGUACUGACGCUGAGACGCGAAAGCGUGGGGAGCGAACAGG
rnacentral:rRNA from 1 species